AAUGAACGCUGGCGGCGCGCCUAAUACAUGCAAGUCGAGCGAGAAGACGUAGCAAUACGUUUGUAAAGCGGCGAACGGGUGAGGAAUACAUGGGUAACCUACCCUAGAGUGGGGAAUAACUAGCCGAAAGGUUAGCUAAUACCGCGUACGCUCCUUGGACUUCGGUUCAGGGAGGAAAGCGAUGCCGAGGGCAUCGCGCUCUUGGAUGGGCUCAUGCCCUAUCAGCUGUUGGUGAGGUAACGGCUCACCAAGGCUUCGACGGGUAGCUGGUCUGAGAGGACGAUCAGCCACACUGGCACUGCGACACGGGCCAGACUCCUACGGGAGGCAGCAGUAAGGAAUAUUGCGCAAGUGGGCGAAAGCCUGACGCAGCGACGCCGCGGUGGGGGAGUGAAGGUC
rnacentral:rRNA from 1 species